GGGGCCGUCGGCUAGUAUGGUCUAGGCUACAUGGCUCGGGCCCAUGUGAUCGCCGGUUCAAAUCCGGCCGGCCCCA
rnacentral:tRNA from 1 species